UUCAGUAGAAGGUUAGUAAGAGCUCAGGAGAGGGCAGGAUGUGAAUACAUGGAAUAAAGAACUGAGUUUGCGAGCUGCUGUCUUCAGGUGUUCUGUUGGAUAUGAGAACCACUGCUUGGAGAAGCAGUAGCCAGGAAUCUGAAAGGACCUGUGAUUGGAUUGAUUUCAGGGCCAGUUCUGGGUUGAUAUGAGAUUAGUGGACCUUUCUUUACCUGGUGAAGUGGAAUGAGGAAAGAAAGAGUUACUGCACUGUUUGUCUUGCUAAGAAGAAGGGAACUGGAUAACUGGAUUGAACAGCCCAGAGUAUUAGACACUCACUCUGUACCUUUUCUUCACAUUGCUGUUGUGGUCGGCCUUCAAACAUGUAAUAGAAGGUAGUAAAAACUAGAGAAAGAUAAAGCUUAUAAAUGUGCUGAUUUACCCAGUUUCAUGGGAAAAAAAGAAAGGAGUCUGUUAAUAAAGAUAUUAACAACA